UACAAAUUCUGCUUCUCCCUGUUAGAAACGUAGUCAUCUUCAUUUUGCCCUAAAGUGGCGAUUCAGUGGCGAUUCUAAACCCUAUGAUUUUAGGGUUUCAUCCUUUUCACCUUCUUACCCCUAUAUGAGCUCAAGAAUAAAGGUUAAAGAUCAGAUGUUUCAUUUAAUUGGAGCUACCAGACCACUAACUCAUCCACAAUGAGAAGCAACUAUAAUUCAGGAAAAACGAUUGCCUUAGAGAAGCAACAAACUUGGGGUGUAAUUGAUCGGCCAGAAGGACAUGCGGUAGGAUGCAGGUGGAAUUGAUCGGCCAGAAGGACAUGCGGUAGGAUGCAGGUGGAUGUACACUUUGAAACACAAACCGAAUGGUUCGAUUGCGAGAUACAAAGCUCAUUUGGUGGGUUUUACGCAAUUAUAUGGGGUUGACUAGAAGAAAACUUUUUCUUCUGUACUAAAAUUAAAGUGAAUACGGGUACUUUUAUCUAUUAUAGCUAUAAAAAAUAGCUACUCAACCAAUUAGACAUGAAAAUGCCUUUAUCUAUGGAGAUAUGGAAAAGGAAGUGUAUAUGACCCAUUAGCUUCUAUCCUCAAGGGUAAAAAUCGAAGGUCUGCUAGUUAACAAAAUCUAUACAAACUACUAGCUCUAGCUUGGUUUGAAAUAUUUAGUAUGGCAAUAUUCCAGAUCGGGUUUUAGAGAAGUGUUUCUGAUCGUUAUGUAUUUCUUAAAAGAUAUUCUUGUUCUACCACAAUACUAUAGGCAUAUGUGGAUUAUAUUUUGCUCGCUGGAGAUAAUAAUCACCAAAUUCAUAAAGUAAAAGAUUUAUUGGGAAGCUUUUUUGACAUCAAGGAUCUUGGUCCGUUUAAAUACUUUCUUGACAUGGAGGUAGCAAGGUCUAAACAAAGGAUUUUUUAUUUCAAAGGAAGUGCACUCUUGAUCCAUAAUAAUAUGUGAAUGCUUGGAGCCAAAUUAGCAUAAUUUCCCAUAGAGGUUAAUCACAAAAUGUAUGACCGGCAAUCAACGUCUUUGAAUAAACUUGGUGCAUAUCAGAAAUUAGUGGGCAAACCUAUUUAUUUUUCCCUCAUACAGUCGGACAUAGCAUAUGUUGUAAGAAUGGCAAGUUAGGUGAUGCACAUACCACAAUCCCAUCACCUGGAGGUUAUUUAUUACAUUUUAUGACAUCUAAAUCUCACCUUCAAGUUGUUGGACUACUUUGCACCUGUCACGGUCACCUUGAUAUAUAGGCUUAUUGUGAUGCAAAUUGGGUUGGUCGGUCUCUUGUUCGUUGAUGGUAGUUGAUAAUGUAGUCAUUUGAAAGUGGAAGAAGAAAAGUGUUGUUGUUCGAUCUUCAGUGGAAGCCGAGUAUCGAGAGAUGGCAAG